rnacentral:rRNA from 1 species
GAUGAGCGCUGGCGGCGUGCCUAAUACAUGCAAGUCGAGCGAACAGACGAGGAGCUUGCUCCUCUGACGUUAGCGGCGGACGGGUGAGUAACACGUGGAUAACCUACCUAUAAGACUGGUAUAACUUCGGGAAACCGGAGCUAAUACCGGAUAAUAUAUUGAACCGCAUGGUUCAAUAGUGAAAUACGGUUUUGCUGUCACUUAUAGAUGGAUCCGCGCCGCAUUAGCUAGUUGGUAAGGUAACGGAUUACCAAGGCAACGAUGCGUAGCCGAACUGAGAGGGUGGUCGGCCGCACUGGGACGGAGACCCGGUCCAGACGCCUACGGGAGGCAGCAGGAGGGAAUCUUGCGGAAUGGGCGGAAGCCUGACGGAGCAACGCCGCGUGAGGGAUGAAGGACGUCGGGUCGUAAAACUCUGUUAUUAGGGAAGAACAAAUGUGUAAGUAACUAGGCACGUCUUGACGGGUACUAAGCAGAAAAGCACCGGCUACUACCUGG